rnacentral:lncRNA from 1 species
AAAAAAAAACUAUACAUUCAUAUUUUAUUUUGAAGGGUACUUAUUUUGUUAAAGGGAUAGUUAUUGGCCAGAAGCAGCCCAUGUUCUGGCAUACAUCAUCAUCUAUUAUGAAAUUACAGAAAGAAAAAAAAAACAAAAAAAACCUCUGACUCGGUGAUGAUUGCUUCAUCAGACGGCUGAAAAUGAAAUUUUCCAAAGGAAGAAAGGGAGGAGAAGGGAUAUUGGGGAUUUCUUCACUCAAUAGCAAAAUGAGUUAUGGGGGAGAUGUUGCCAUUUGUGAGAGACCAAAAAGAAACUGCACUCUCUCUAUCAGGAAAUCAGUGAGUCUUAAGUGGCAAAUAACUAAUCAGACAUGUCAUCAUAUCCCCAAAACGAAACGGUAUCUCUUUCAAAUCAG